GGACUGCAACGGUGGCCAAGCAUCUGCUUUGUAUGCAGAAGGUGCCAGGUUCAAUCCCUGGCAUCUCCA